GACGAACGCUGGCGGCGUGCUUAACACAUGCAAGUCGAACGGAAAGGCCCAGCUUGCUGGGUACUCGAGUGGCGAACGGGUGAGUAACACGUGGGUGAUCUGCCCUGCACUCUGGGAUAAGCCUGGGAAACUGGGUCUAAUACCGGAUAUGACCAACUGUCGCAUGGUGGUUGGUGGAAAGCUCUUGCGGUGUGGGAUGGGCCCGCGGCCUAUCAGCUUGUUGGUGGGGUAAUGGCCUACCAAGGCGACGACGGGUAGCCGACCUGAGAGGGUGAUCGGCCACACUGGGACUGAGACACGGCCCAGACUCCUACGGGAGGCAGCAGUGGGGAAUAUUGCACAAUGGGCGCAAGCCUGAUGCAGCGACGCCGCGUGAGGGAUGACGGCCUUCGGGUUGUAAACCUCUUUCACCAGGGACGAAGCGUGAGUGACGGUACCUGGAGAAGAAGCACUGGCCAACUACGUGCCAGCAGCCGCAGUAAUAC
rnacentral:rRNA from 1 species